UAAGCCCUGGCUAUGAGACAGCAAGCAGUGAAUCACAGAUCUGGAAGGCACUUGCUGAUGGACGGGGAAAAUGAGGCCUCAAGAAGGAAAGCAACUUACUCAAGUUCACUCAGCAAGUGAACAGAGACGGUACCAGGGGUCUCCACUCUCCCACUCCCCUUUUCUUUCCAUCAAGGAGGUCUCUCAAGGCGAAUUCCGCUGGAUGGCAUCCUGAGGGGUCGGGCCGCCCUUGCCGGCCUUACCCCCUCCGGCCCCGAACAGCUUGCCGAACACCGACAUGGUUGCUGCUCGCCGCGCCGGCCUGCGCCGCCCGCUCCGGCUCGGCUCGGCUCGGCUCCAGCGCCCGCUCCUGGCCCCGCCGCUCCCUGCCGCCACAGGCCUCUCCGCCGCCUCCGCCCCGCAGCUGGGCUCGGCCGCGCCACCUCCCACAGGCCCCCACGCCCGGGGCCGGCCAGCGUCAGAGCAAUACGUCGCUGACUACAACUCCCGGAGGGCAACGCGCCGGCCGUGCCUCAAACCUAAUGGAAGGAGGCGCACUGCAUGCCGGGAGACUAUAGUCUUCCGGCUUGAGGCGCUCCGCGGCGCGUCUUUUUGGUCCAGCUAGAGUCAAAGGGCGAGGUGGCAUGCUGGGAAAUGUAGUCUCCUUGGAGCCCGUUCUGUAGAGGUAGAAGGACUAGAAGAGAAAUAAUAUUUUUCAAAACGUUAAUUAGCAUUACGUACAUUCUGUGAUCCAGGAAUUGUGCAAAGUGCUUUACACACAUUAUCACAUUUAAUUCUCACAAGCUUAAUGAUAGAUAAUACUGUUCCUAUUUUGUAGGUGAGUAACCAAGACUCAGAGAAACUGAGCGGCUGACUAGCUUAAUUGACUAGUCCUGUCUUUGUAUACUUUGUUCCCUCUACCUAGAAUGCCUUUCUACUCUUUAUUCGCCUAGCAGGUUCUUGGAAACCUAGUAGAAACUAACAGCCUUGGCACUGGAGUUAGACUGCAAAGGUUCAAAACGCACCUUGCAACUUAGGCAAGUUACUUCCCCUACUCUGUGUGCCUUCCUGUCUGAAACUGUAAACUAGAAAUGAUAAUAACAAGACCACCUCCAAGUUUAUAUGAGAUAGGUAAUGUAAAGUGUUUAUUUAGCAUGGCCUAGCUAGGUGCUCAAAAAUUUAUUCCUUAUUCUUGGUCAUCAUUAUACACACUAAUAAUUAAACCAGGCUGAGACCUGAAACUGAGACCCAGAACUUUCAAAAGUAGUAGAAGUAUUGAAGAGUUUUUUUGUCCGUGCAUUAUACAGAUCACUGUGGUUAUGGGGCCACAUUUCAUUGUUUUCCCUUGUCCUUUGCUGUCAAGAAUCACUUCUCCCUUGGGGCACCUGGGUGGCUCAGUCAGUUGAGUGUUCAACUCCGUUUUGGCUCAGGUCAUGGUCUCCCAGUUUGUGAGCCCCAUGUCGGGUUCUGCGCUGGCAACUAGGAGCCUGCUUGAGAUUCUCUCUCUCCCUCUCUCUGACCCUCCCCUGCUCAUGGUCUCUCUCUCUCUCUUUCUCUCUCUUUCUCUC